rnacentral:rRNA from 1 species
GAUGAACGCUGGCGGCGUGCUUAACACAUGCAAGUCGAGCGGAAAGCCCCUUCGGGGGAAUUCGAGCGGCGAACGGGUGAGUAACACGUGGGGAACCUGCCCCUCUCACUGGGAUAACUCCGGGAAACCGGAGCUAAUACCGGAUACUCCUUUCGGACCGCAUGGUCUGAUCGGGAAAGCUCCGGCGGAGAGGGAUGGCCCCGCGGCCCAUUAGCUAGUUGGUGAGGUAAUGGCUCACCAAGGCAACGAUGGGUAGCCGAGCUGAGAGGCUGAUCGGCCACACUGGGACUGAGACACGGCCCAGACUCCUACGGGAGGCUG